rnacentral:rRNA from 1 species
AAGCGUACGUAGGCGGUUUAUUAAGCAAGAUGUGAAAGCCCAGGGCUCAACCUUGGAACUGCAUUUUGAACUGAUAGGCUAGAGUACUGUAGAGGGUGGUGGAAUUUCCAGUGUAGCGGUGAAAUGCGUAGAGAUUGGAAGGAACAUCAGUGGCGAAGGCGGCCACCUGGACAGAUACUGACGCUGAGGUACGAAAGCGUGGGGAGCAAACAGGAUUAGAUACCCUGGUAGUCCACGCCGUAAACGAUGUCAACUAGCCGUUUGUGUCCUAGAGACGUGAGUGGCGCAGCUAACGCACUAAGUUGACCGCCUGGGGAGUACGGCCGCAAGGUUAAAACUCAAAUGAAUUGACGGGGGCCCGCACAAGCGGUGGAGCAUGUGGUUUAAUUCGAUGCAACGCGAAGAACC